rnacentral:misc_RNA from 1 species
GGAUAUGGUUAAACAAUUCAAGCAGUAAGCAUCUCUUAAAUGUCUGUUGUUAUUUUUCCAAGUGUAUGUUCAUAAAAAAUGCAAAAACAUUGCCAUUUGCCAUUGAGGCACCUUUGCAAUUUUCACAUUUAGCAUUCAUGUGAUCAGGGCUAUGUCUUCAUGUAGUACUUGAAGAAAGUAGAUAUCGCAUGUCUAGCAGUUGAGUGUCAAGGAGACCUUUAAGCAGUGCCAUUUAUCUUAUGCAGUUAUUGAUUGGAUUACAUUUUUUAUGUAGUUCGAUGCUUUGUUUGAGUAGGAUUUUUCUGUGGUUUGUUGCUUUCCAGUUGCAUACAUGAUAACAAGAGAUGCCGGCUUAUAUACAGUUUGCACAUGUCAUCUUCUUUUUUGGUGUACCUAUUAGUAUUAUUAUUCAUCAUGAAUAACCUGUGGCACAUGAUACAGUGCUCUGGUAUGGGG